rnacentral:misc_RNA from 1 species
UCCGGUUUGUCACCGGCAGUCUCAUUAGAGUGCCCUUUCGUAGCAACUAAUGACAAGGGUUGCGCUCGUUGCGGGACUUAACCCAACAUCUCACGACACGAGCUGACGACAGCCAUGCAGCACCUGUGUUCCGAUUCCCUUUCGGGCACCCCCACCUCUCAGCAGGGUUCCGGACAUGUCAAGGGUAGGUAAGGUUGUUCGCGUUGCAUCGAAUUAAUCCACAUCAUCCACCGCUUGUGCGGGUCCCCGUCAAUUCCUUUGAGUUUUAACCUUGCGGCCGUACUCCCCAGGCGGAUCACUUCACGCGUUAGCUACGGUACCCAGGAAUCGCUUCCCGAACACCCAGUGAUCAUCGUUUAGGGCGUGGACUAC